GUCCAGUGUCACAUAAGCAGUAAGAAAAGGAUUGAAACUUUGAGCUCCGUUCUUUCUUUGAAGAAAGGAAAUUGUGGGAAGGAAAGAAGAAAAGGGAAGAAAUUUAAUUUGCUCCUAACAGCAUGAGCCAGCCAGGUGCCUAAGUGUUUUCUGGCUUGGAGAAAGCCCCCAGACAGCAAAGAGAAGGGUGAGUUCCUGUUGUUUACGGAAGCCUAGGUGAGGACACAUGUCUGUCUCUAAGAGGACAUCACAAGAGCAGGAUAUUCAUAGGAUGCUGGGUCAGUGUCAGGUACUUAGGACACCUUUCCUCGUAACCAGCUCACAUUUCUCACUCUGCUAGGAGGAGUGGGGGAGUUUUUCCAUGACCAUUUUUAAAGCUCUUAGUUUUGGUAUCAUAUCGUGGGGACUCUUUUCCUCUUUCUUUGGAGAUACGAUUUGAGAGGCUUGACUGACAACCCAGGUUUGUGGGUUUGACUCCUCGAUUAGUAGCUUAUUAGUUAUGUAGCUUUGGAUAAGCUAUUUAAUUUCUCUGGAGCUCAGUUUCCUCAUCUGUAAAUUGGUAAUCAUAAUGUCACUUGCCUUAUAAGAUUGUGAGGAUUAAAUGCAAUAGCACAAUGAACUCAGCACCUGGCAUGCCAUUAAUGUUCAAUAAAAGGUAAUUAUUAUUGGUCAUUGCUUAAAGAGGCAGUUCAGUCUAGGAAGAUGGGAGCUGAAGUUUCUGAUUUCUCAGAAGGCUGCCGGUAUCCUUUAUGCUCAGUUGAGAAUGAAAAUACUGUAGGAAUAGCCGGGCCAGAGGAAAGGCAGGCUUCCAUCUGAAUAUUUCCAAUGAACUAGUAAGCUGAAAAGAUGUCUAUUUAUAAGUUGCGACAGACCACAGGAGCUGUUGAAAAGAAAGAUUUCUUUUCCAAAUCUGGAUACUUACACCCCAUAGAAAAGAUAUUUUGGGCCUCCCAUGUUUAUUUCUACGCAUGUCCUUUUUAGGCAUAGGUCUUUCAGAACCAAGAACUGUGCUAGGUAUGAAUGAAAGCGGGGGGGGGGGAGCCUUCCUUCCUAGCACUAUGUACAUAGAGUUUAUCAAAAUAAUCAAAGUCUUCAGAGCAGCUGACCUUCUGGUGGAAAACAGAAAAAGUG
rnacentral:lncRNA from 1 species